rnacentral:rRNA from 1 species
AUUGAACGCUGGCGGCAGGCCUAACACAUGCAAGUCGAGCGGAUUAAGGGAGCUUGCUCCUGGAUUCAGCGGCGGACGGGUGAGUAAUGCCUAGGAAUCUGCCUGGUAGCGGGGGAUAACGUCCGUAAACGGGCGCUAAUACCGCAUACGUCCUGAGGGAGCAAGUGGGGGAUCUUCGGACCUCACGCUCUCAGAUGAGCCUACGUCGGAUUAGCUAUUUGGUGGGGUAAAGGCCUACCAAGGCGACGAUCCGUAACUAGUAUGAGAGGAUGAUCAGUCAGAGUGGAACUGAAACAAGGCGCAGACGCUAAAGGGAGGAAGCAAAAGGGAAAAUUGGACAAUGGGCGAAAGACUGAUCAAGCCAAGACGCGAGUGUGAAGAAGGUAUACGGAUUGUAAAACACUUAAAGUUGGGAGGAAGGGAAGUAAGUUAAUACCUUGCUGGUUUGACGUUACAAACAGAAUAAGCACCGGCUAACUUCGUG